CCUACGGGCGGCAGCAGUGAGGAAUAUUGGUCAAUGGGCGAGAGCCUGAACCAGCCAAGUCGCGUGAAGGAUGACGGCUCUAUGGUUUGUAAACUUCUUUUAUAUGGGAAUAAAGUGAGGAACGUGUUCCUUUUUGUAUGUACCAUAUGAAUAAGCAUCGGCUAACUCCGUGUCAGCAGCCGCGGUAAUACGGAGGAUGCGAGCGUUAUCCGGAUUUAUUGGGUUUAAAGGGUGCGUAGGCGGUUUGUUAAGUCAGCGGUGAAAGUUUGUGGCUCAACCCUAAAAUUGCCGUUGAUACUGGUAGACUAGAGUAUAGUUGAGGUAGGCGGAAUGCGUGGUGUAGCGGUGAAAUGCUUAGAGAUCACGAAGAACACCGAUUGCGAAGGCAGCUUACUAAACUAUAACUGACAUUGAGGCACGAAAGCGUGGGUAGCAAACAGGAUUAGAUACCCGAGUAGUC
rnacentral:rRNA from 1 species